GAUGAACGCUGGCGGCGUGCCUAAUACAUGCAAGUCGAGCGAAAGGACGCGAAGUUUGCUUUUCUGUUGUUUGCGGAGGACGUGUGUGUAACAUGUGGAACAUCUACUUAUAAGUCUGGGAUAAUUUCGAGAAACCGGCUCUUAUACCGGAUGAUAUUUUGAACCGCAUGGUUCAUUAGUGAGAGUCGGUCUUUCUGGCUCUUAUAGCUGGUUCUACGCUGCUUUGGCUAGUUGGUAAGGUAACGGGUUAUCACGGCAGCGAUGCCUAGCCGACGUGACGGAGUGAUCGGCCACACGGGAACGGAGACACGGUCCAUGCUCCUGCGGUAGGCAGCAGUAGGGAAUCUUCCGCAAUGGGCGAAAACCUGACGGAGCGGGCGCACGUGUGAUAUGAAGAUCUUCGGUUCGUAAAACUCUGUUAUGAGGGAAGAACAUAUGUGUAAGUAACUGUGGACAGCGUGACGGUACCUAGUCAAAAAGCCACGGCUAACUACGUG
rnacentral:rRNA from 1 species